rnacentral:rRNA from 1 species
UUGCACGCUGGCGGCAUGCCUUACACAUGCAGGUCGAACGGCAGCACGGGUGCUUGCCCCUGGUGGCGAGUGGCGAACGGGUGAGUAAUACAUCGGAACAUGUCCUGUAGUGGGGGAUAGCCCGGCGAAAGCCGGAUUAAUACCGCAUACGAUCUACGGAUGAAAGCGGGGGACCUUCGGGCCUCGCGCUAUAGGGUUGGCCGAUGGCUGAUUAGCUAGUUGGUGGGGUAAAGGCCUACCAAGGCGACGAUCAGUAGCUGGUCUGAGAGGACGACCAGCCACACUGGGACUGAGACACGGCCCAGACUCCUACGGGAGGCAGCAGUGGGGAAUGUUGGACAAUGGGCGAAAGCCUGAUCCAGCAAUGCCGCGUGUGUGAAGAAGGCCUUCGGGUUGUAAAGCACUUUUGUCCGGAAAGAAAUCCUUGGCCCUAAUACGGUCGGGGGAUGACGGUACCGGAAGAAUAAGCACCGGCUAACUACGUG